CCUACGGUGGCAGCAGUGGGGAAUAUUGGACAAUGGGCGAAAGCCUGAUCCAGCCAUGCCGCGUGUGUGAAGAAGGCCUUCGGGUUGUAAAGCACUUUCAGUGGGGAAGAAAGCCUUGGGGCUAAUACCCUCGAGGAAGGACAUCACCCACAGAAGAAGCACCGGCUAACUCCGUGCCAGCAGCCGCGGUAAUACGGUGGGUGCGAGCGUUAAUCGGAAUUACUGGGCGUAAAGCGCGCGUAGGCGGUCUGAUAAGCCGGUUGUGAAAGCCCCGGGCUCAACCUGGGAACGGCAUCCGGAACUGUCAGGCUAGAGUGCAGGAGAGGAAGGUAGAAUUCCCGGUGUAGCGGUGAAAUGCGUAGAGAUCGGGAGGAAUACCAGUGGCGAAGGCGGCCUUCUGGACUGACACUGACGCUGAGGUGCGAAAGCGUGGGUAGCAAACAGGAUUAGAUACCCCAGUAGUC
rnacentral:rRNA from 1 species